CCCUGCAUUCGUAAGUGAUCAUGGGGUGCCCAUGCCUUGGUCAUUGGUGGUGCAGGCAGAGGAAAUAAGGAAAGAGUGGUCCUGUGUUUGGAAAGUCUACAUCUUGCCUUCCAGUUCCGGGAGCUUUCCUACA
ensembl:snoRNA SNORA71 Small nucleolar RNA SNORA71